GCAUCCAGGGUAUAGUGGAGAGUGAUCCCAGACAGUCUAUUAUGUAAGUAAAGACAUACAUUCCUCCAUGGUAUGUGAGUUUAGAAACUCCUCGCAGUGGUAGGUGUUGUUGAUUCACCGGUAUGACCAUAUUCACCAGUAUGACAAUAUUCACCAGUAUGACAUUAUUCAGCGGUAUGACAAUAUUCACUGGUAUGACAUUAUUCACCGGUAUGACAAUAUUUACCAGUAUGACAAUAUUUACCAGUAUGACAAUAUUCACUGGUAUGACAAUAUUCACUGGUAUGACAACAUUCACUGGUAUGACAAUAUUCAACAGUAUGACAAUAUGAUGAAUACUGAUGCUUAUUCAGUUCUACUGAGGUAAUGACAAAGACAUUGCUGAAGGGGGGUCAGCAGGUGCAACUGUGCAGUUAGAGGAGGCAGGUCAAAGGUGUGUGAAACUAAUUAAUGCUAAUAGGAAGAAUUGUUUACUUAAUCUGUCAACUGUAGUUUUCAGGUAUACUUUCUGCUAUAAAACUUAAUACUGAUAUGAACAAUAUUUAUUUAAUUUAAAUGUAUCAAGUAAAAAUAAUUAUCCAACUUCUUUGCAUUUCUUUUGUGGUUGAGUAUGUAUGAUGUUAAUUUCAAAUUCAAAUAUUAUGAAGUCAAAAUAUUUUAAGGAGGGGAAAGUCAAGAAUAAACCAAAGAUAACCAAAAGUUAAAGUUGUAAAUAUAUUGAUGCAUAUUUCACCUCACGUGUAAUCACACUAUGAACCACUGUACAACACUAGCAGCAUAAUGUCACUCGCUUGUAUGAAGUCAUGGACUAUGUUCAUCAAAUUAAAUUUCAAAUAUUUAGAAUUCAAGUACAUAGUAAAGAGAAGGGGUAUUAAGAAUCAAAUGUAAUUUUUCAAACAAUUUGGUGUUGGUGGAUAUUAACUGUUGACACUGAUGGUGCACAGAAAGCAUUCCUUGUCCUCUUAGAAAGGUGAGGUUACAUUCCUUAAGCUCUUAGCAGGGUGAGAUCACAUUCCUUCUGCUCUUAGCUGGGUGAGAUCACAUUCCUUCUGCUCUUAGAACGGUGAAGUAACAUUCCUUGUCCUCUUAGAAGGGUGAGGUUACAUUCCUUAAGCUCUUAGCAGGGUGAGAUCACAUUCCUUCUGCUCUUAGCUGGGUGAGAUCGCAUUCCUUAUGCUCUUAGAACGGUGAAGUCACAUUCUUUAUGCUCUUAGAAGGGUGAGGUCACAUUCUUUGUGCUAUUAAAAGGGUGAGAUCACAUUCCUUAUCCCCUUAGAAGGGUGAGAUCUCAUUCCUUAUGCUCUUGGAAGGGUGAGGUCACAUUCAAUAAACAAGAAGUUGCCAUCCAUAUACUCAUCUUAUAUAGGCCCACAUAGCUGGAAUAUUGCUGAAUGCGGUGUUAAACAACCAACCAACCAACCAACCAACCAACCAUCAAGGCAGGGUUAGAAGAAAGUUCAUGUGUCAUGCGCUGGUAGGACAGAGCUACAGAUAACGUUUUGGGUCAUUGAGUUAUGUAACCGCUUGUGUUCAUCUCAGUUCGGUAUCCUAAUUUUCCUUUGAGUAACCAAAUAUAUUGCACCCACCUCACUCAAACUCA